rnacentral:rRNA from 1 species
AGUUANGUAGGUGAACUGCUUGCGGAGCAUUG